rnacentral:rRNA from 2 species
UGGAAGUAAAAGUCGUAACAAGGUCUCCGUUGGUGAACCAGCGGAGGGAUCAUUACAGAGUUAUACAACUCCCAUACCAUCUGUUAACCUACCCAGUUAUGCCUCGGCGUAAGCUCGGUUGGAGGCACCUGCAGCUACCCUGUAGUUGCGGACUGCCAACUCCAGCCGCGGCCCGCCGGCGGUACACUAAACUCUGUUUUAUUUUAUAUUCUGAGCGUCUUAUUUUAAUAAGUUAAAACUUUCAACAACGGAUCUCUUGGUUCUGGCAUCGAUGAAGAACGCAGCGAAAUGCGAUAAGUAAUGUGAAUUGCAGAAUUCAGUGAAUCAUCGAAUCUUUGAACGCACAUUGCGCCCAUCAGUAUUCUGGUGGGCAUGCCUGUUCGAGCGUCAUUUCAACCCUUAAGCCUAGCUUAGUGUUGGGAAUCUGCUGUACUGCAGUUCCUUAAAGACAGUGGCGGAGCGGCGGUAGUCCUCUGAGCGUAGUAAUUUAUUUCUCGCUUUUGUCAGGCUCUGUCCUCCCGCCAUAAAACCCCCAAUUUUUUAGUGGUUGACCUCGGAUCAGGUAGGAAUACCCGCUGAACUUAAGCAUAUCAAUAAGCGGAGGA